rnacentral:ribozyme from 1 species
GAUACCAAAAACAGUGAGAUAUCUGUACAUGAAUAUAGGUAGUU